rnacentral:rRNA from 1 species
GCGCGAAAACUUUACAAUGCUGGCAACAGCGAUAAGGGAACCUCGAGUGCCAGGUUACAAAUCUGGCUGUCGAGAUGCCUAAAAAGCAUUUCAUAGCUAGGGCCGGGCAAGACCGGUGCCAGCCGCCGCGGUAACACCGGUGGCUCGAGUGGUAACCGUUAUUAUUGGGUCUAAAGGGUCUGUAGCCGGCCGGAUAAGUCUCUUGAGAAAUCUGGCAGCUUAACUGUCAGGCUUUCAGGAGAUACUGUCUGGCUCGAGGCCGGGAGAGGUGAGAGGUACUUCAGGGGUAGGGGUGAAAUCUUGUAAUCCUUGAAGGACCACCAGUGGCGAAGGCGUCUCACCAGAACGGACCUGACGGCAAGGGACGAAAGCUAGGGGCACGAACCG